UGCACUUGGAAUGUUCUCUUUUUAUUUUAAAUAUACCUAUUACAAUAAUUUGUUAGGCUUAUAUAGAGCACUAUUAUUUACAUAAUUCAGUGUUUAUCCUUUGGGGAGAAUUCCAGUGCUGAAUAAAUAAGAGUCAGUGAGCUGCUUGUUAACCAUCUUGGAAUCAGAGUUCUGAAAUAUUAGUUUCACAUAGAUGAUUAAAGUCCUUGAAAUGGUUACAGUUUCCUGUAGUUUCAUAUAGUGAGUAUCUUCUGACUGCAGUCAGAUUUUGUUGAAAAGUCUGAACAUAGCUAUAGGGAAUCAGAAGAAAGUUUAACAACAACAUCAAAUUAAAAAAAAAAACCCUGAAAAACAUCAGUGGUUGAACCUCUACAUUUUUCAGAUGCAUCUCAGGGUGAUGAUAUUGUUAAGGGGAACAAAGAACAAAUUUGGUAAAAUUUUUGUUAUAAAAUGUCUAGAUCAUGGGGCGAAAUAUACAAUCACUAAUAAAUAAAAAAUACAGCUUUUUACAAGGUCACCUUUCAACAUGGCAUCUUAAAAUGUGCUUCCAGGUAAGAAUGGUUUUUAUUUUUUUAAAUUAAAAUUCAAUUUUCCAUGGUUACUAUUUCUUACACAUGAUUUUAUGCAUCAGAUAUAUACUAUAUAAAACACAUAAAAGAUUAAAUUGUCAGUACAAGGAAUAUCAUUAGCUGAGAACAUGAAACAAGGGUUCAUAUAAGAUACCACUCAAUGCUAUGUGUGUAAGCUCAAAUAGAAAGAGACUUUGGUCCUGAUCUUGCACUAAGAAAGUAAAAGUGGUCCCGUGUUUCCACAUACAGAACUUACUGUCUUUACGGAGAGCAUACUAGUCCUGUAUGUGUCAACCAUCCCAUUUUCACGUGACCCACCACAGAAAAUGGGUUUGAAUCAGGACAAGCAGCUGAAAGGUUUUUCUCCUAAUUCUCAUCAAUAUAUUUCAGAGGUCAAGUCCAUGGCACAUUAUGUGAGUAUCUGAAUAUCUAUGACAUUCAGCUAUGGCACUCAGUUUCGUUUCCCCAACGUACAGAAAGACAGAAGGGAAAUGCAGCUCGUAACUACCAGGCAUUUAUCUAACAAAUGUAACAUUAUUAGCAUUAUCAUGGAAUAGAAACUAUAGUUUAUUGACAACAUGCCUCUGUGUUCAACAAAACAUCUUCAAUUUUAGUAGCAUUACAGUUUGGCAAAGAAGAGUUUCUGAAUUAUCUUUGUUACAGAUUUCAAUCUGGCACAUUUAAGACACCCACCCACCUAUUCAAAUAAUAUUUUAAAGCAAAAUUAAUGUUUGAUAUAAAAUAACAGUUGUGUUGUAAAUGUGGAAAAAUAGUCUACAAAAAAUAAGUAUAAAAGUGAUCUCAGAUUUAUGAAUAUGUCUCAUAUAAACAAGUCCAGGUGACUAUUCUGUGUGUUAGAAAUGGCCCUUGGUAGGCUGUGUCACAACAGUACAUCACAUUUUUCACAGUUUACUAUAACACAGUUAGAUUCACAAUGUGAUGACACCUUAUUUAAGAAAAAUAGUAUUUUACAAACUAUACAUUUGGCAUCUAUUUUUAGGUUUUUUUUGUUUUUUUUCAGUUCCUUUUUUCAUUUUCCUGUUUUCUUUUCUUACAAAAUAGUGCAAAAUUACAGUGCGUUACUAGAAGAUUUUGCAAAUCCUAAUAAAAAGUCAGUAUAUUUAACUGUUUUGCUCAUUCACUGGAAACAGUUUGGCACGUUAGGAUUUUGUAUAGAUGGAAAAGUGUCUCAUUUUCUUCUUUUCAGUAUAUUCACUGAAUCUUUAAAACAUUAAAUUGCACAAAGGGGGUUAACUUUCCAAGCUUUUAAAUCUCAUCUCUUAUAACGUGUGUUACAAAACAAAACAGCAAAGGAAAAUGUAGAUUUUGGGGUUAAUUUAUUUGCCAAAGAGCAUAUGUCAGACUGGCUUUUCUUAUAUCGUAAAGAAAGAUAUUGAUGAGAAUAUUCUUCAUCUGGUGACUGCUGAAGUGUUUAGUUACAGCUUCAAAUGUUUGUAGGAAAUUUAUCCCAACUUUAUAUAUAUAUGUGUAAGUGUUGGUUUAUCAUAUAGCUUUCAAAUUUUGCUAUCAUGUAUGUCCCUGUAUCUGGCUGUAUCGAGUCAUGGGGAUAAAGUUUCAUCAAAGCCUGGUUUUGACUGGACUAAUUCAUAUAAAGAAUAACAAACAAUUGCUUUGGCUGCCAAUUUGCAAUGAUUAAGUGAUUUUCCUACUAAUUAUUUACUUCGGAAUGUUAAUGAAGAGUUCCCCCUGUAUGAAUACUUCAUUUUUACAGACUGGCACCAUAACUCAAAAAAAUACCAAUGCUCAUUUCUUGGAACAACAAAAUCUUCUGCAUAGUCAUAAACAGGUAUGGUACAGACUGCAGGAGUGAGAGUGUCCUAAGUCAUCCUGUGAGUGUGCCAAGAAACACACAGAAGAUGUCCGAUGAGCCUCAGGUCAGUUCUGUGCCUCCUUGGCUGAAAGCAGGAAUGAGAAACCUGACUG
ensembl:lncRNA